CUGCUGGAGGGAAGCACGGAGGGCACGUUCUGAGUGAAAGAUGCAGCAUUUGCAAUUUCAUGUCUAAUUUCCUGGCUGUUUAUCUGCCGAAGCAACCCCAGGAAGCUCAAUUUCGCUUCUAAUCUUUCAGAGGAGCUGAUAAGUGAGAGGGAAGGAAGCGCCCCAGGUCCUCCGAGCUACGGAUCUCCGAAGUCGCUGGAAAACCUGCGGCACGAAACUCUCCGCCCGAGAAGCUUUCCCUGUAACACCCGCCUCCUCUCACGGCGAAGGAGACAAAGGGGCGGUGGCGAGAGAGGACUAGCUCGCCUGUGUCUGUCUGCUUACACUGGGCGGGCUUCCAUUCUCUUAGCUUUUCCUUUCUUUUGGUUUCUUUUCCCUUUUGAGCUGACAUCAACUCGUAUAUAGGAACAUUCAGCAGAUUCCAACUGGUGACAGUUUGCUGCUGCCUGGCCACAGGGAGAAGAAUCUGUGUGUUUCUCACUGGUCAGUGGCUCUCGGGCCAGACUCCCACCUUGGCCGUCUUCCUGCAUCAGUCGGAUCUUCCUUAUGUUCCUUUCCCUUCGAUCCUCCUUCGGCCUCGGAUAUUUGGAAAAGGAAGAUAAGGGACACACUGAAAACAGAAAGACGAUCUGAAGUCUGCCUUGACGCAUGUGCAGAAGUGUGACCUCCCAAGUGUGACCUCCAGAACACUCGCAGUUCUGUCCCUGGGCCUCCCUGGAACAGACCGCCAGUCACUGUGAACUGCGGCAGGAUGAAGAUGUUUGUGUAAAGUAGACUCGAGUUCUCUAGACCCAAGGAGGAAACCACCAGACUAAUUUUACCUUCACUUAAACCAGACUGAAACCAAGACUCAAGAAUGAAAAACCUUGUCAUUAACCAUCCAUUCACCUCAGUGAGAUAUUAUGUUACAACCAGAAUCAUUGUGGAAUUCGAAUGAUUUUGAUGGGAUAUUUAACCAGGGGCUUAAAUUAAAUUGAAUAUUUUCUCUAGUGAA